rnacentral:rRNA from 1 species
UACGUAGGGUGCAAGCGUUGUCCGGAAUUAUUGGGCGUAAAGAGCUCGUAGGCGGUCUGUCGCGUCUGCUGUGAAAACUCAGGGCUUAACCCUGAGCUUGCAGUGGGUACGGGCAGACUAGAGUGCGGUAGGGGAGACUGGAAUUCCGUGGGUGAUAGCGGUGAAAUGCGCAGAUAUCGAGGAGGAACACCGGUGGGCGAAGGCGGUUCUCUGGGCCGUUACCGACGC